ACUCCUUUGCUUCUCUGAGUCUAUACAAAAAUUUGAAGUUCUGACACCAGGUAUUCGAUUAAAUGCUAACUCGAGAUUCACUAUUAAUUUUAAGGUCAAUUUGGUUUUCUUCAAUGGUAUUUUGGGAAAUCGAUCUGUAGGUUCAUGUUGAUUGUGGUUCCUUAUACUUCAAGAUUUGGAGGGUGCCCAUUUGUAUUUUCUUUUGUACGAUGAUUACAAAUAUAUGAUUAAAAGUUCAAUAAUAAUAAAUUUCUUUGAGUUAAGUGAUAUAGGAGGUUUUAUGCAUUUCAAAAUACAAAACUCACUUCUUUGAUCCGUUUCCUUUUUAGAUAUGUUUUUUUUUAUUAUAAAUUUGUGCGUAUUUCGAGUUUUUGUGUUUCAUCCGUGUUUUAUCCCCUUCUCUAUCUUCACCAUCUCCUCUUUGUUCAGCCAACGCUAGCUAAUAAGUGAAAGUUGACAAAAUUUUAUCUUCAUUCCAAGUAUGGUUCCAUUUCACUGAUUUUUGUCUAGAUUUGUUAGAUUUUGGUUUCCAAAUGGUUCAAAGAAACGUUGUUUAAGCUGUUGUAGUUGACCACUUCACUUAUUUUUUGUUCUUGCAAAAUAUCUUAGUCCACAUUUGUUUUUAGCCAUUUCAUAUGUCCUCUUGACGGUUUUAGGCUAAAUUUUAGCAGAUUAUGGCCGCUAUGUAUCAACACUAAUGGAACAUAAGAGCCUUUAUGAAGUAAAUCUCCCUAAUUAACCUUUGUGGCUUGCUUAAAGAUUGAUGAUAUGUUAAAUUAAUGCAGAAGAUAAGGAUGGUGGGUGGCGGUGCAAGAGUGCUACCCCGCCACCUACCGGUGGUGAAAGACCACCAUGCGCGACCCGCACACAUUGUCGUACCUUUAGGUGUACACACCUUGCGCCUUUUUAUUCCUUCUUUUGUUCUCAAAUUUAUAUCAUUUCUUCUUUGGGUGUAAACGAGCCAAGUCGCUCUUGAGCUAAUCUAGAUCGGCUAAGAGCUCGAAUAGAGUCAAGUUUAGAUGAACGCAAUCCUAAGCUCGGGCCUAAAAAUAAAAAUUUGUUUAAUAAAUGAGCCUAAGCCCGAGCUUCCUUUAUCGAGAUCAAGUUGGCUCGCAAGCCUAAACGAGCCCAAGCCCGAACUUUUUUAAUAAAUUGCAGCUCGAACUCACUUACUUACGAAAAACUUAAUGCAUUAAUGAUUAAACCUCCUAAACUGUUAUAUUUGAAAAGUUAAUAGUUGAUAUAAAUUUAGAAACGAAUUUUGUGUUUCAUAGUUAUUAAAGGACACUUAAUCUUUAAUGUUUUGCAGUUUGUUGAUCUUCUUUAUUUUAUCAUAUGGGAAGUUAACAUCUUUACAUGAUUCCAUGAGACAUGGAUAUAAUAAGCUCUAAUUGCAUAACUAUACAACUUUCUUUUGUUGAUAGAUGUGACCUGGAUUGGUAAAAACUGCAAAAGGAGGUGUAGACGUGAUUGGAACAUAUGUAUUUUGGAAUGGAUGAGCCAUCACUUGAUUUUCUAAAAACAUCUAAAAGUGCUAGGUUGGACGUCUAAAUGUUGACUGAUUAAUCAUUUUUUUGCAGUUUUUUAUGUGGUUUUAGUACUACCUUGGUGAGAGGUAUGAUUUACCCAAAUUUGUGAAGAUAGUUCAGGAUGUCGGUAUGCUUUUUAUUUUUUGGAUUGGCCCAUUCGUUGCUGCAGAAUGGAACUUUGGGUAUGUCUAUAACUAUUGUUUCUUAGUUUAAUAUCGAUGUUUGGUUUUUUUAGCUUAAAGGUAAUAUAUGUUUUAAAUUCUUAACGAUUUACCAUAAAAUAUUUAGUUGUAUGCCUGUUUGAUUACACUAUUUACCAAGGUGAGAAAUUGCUUAUGGUUUCUGUUUGAUUACACUAUAUUCAGUGUUAGUGGAAAAUAUAGCAUUAUAUGCAAAACUUCACAACUCAACAUAUUAUUGUGAUUGUGAUCAGGUUAGUAGCAUGUAAACUAUAGUUAAAGAUUGCGAUUUUUGACUCAUUUGUAUACACUAUCAAUUGGUUCGGGUCGAUAUUGGUUAGGAGCAAAAUGAGUUCGGGUCAAAACGGGUUUGGAGCAAAAUGAGUUUGGGUUAAAAUCACAUAUUUAAAAAAAUUAUCAAUUUCGUUCGGGUUGAUAUUGGUUAGGAGCAAAAUGAGUUCGGGUGAAAAUGGGUUUGGAGCAAAAUGAGUUCGGGUUAAUAAAUUUUUUUAAAUUCUUUUGGUAACUAUGUUUACAUAAAAAAUGACUGUCACUCAAAAGGAUAACCGGUUAGGAGCGAACUGAGUUCGGGUUAAAACAAAACAUUUGGAAAAAGAACUACAAUUUGGUUAAGGUCAAAACAGGUUUGGAGGAAAAUGAGUUUUGGUGAAAACUGUAUAUUAAAAAAAAACUAUCAAUUUGGUUCGGGUCGAUAUUGGUUAGGAGCAAAAUGAGUUCGGAUCAAAACGGCUUUGGAGCAAAAUGAGUUUGGGUUAAAAUCAUUUUGAUAGUUUAUUGUUAUUUGUUUUCUUAGGGACUCAUUUAAGUAUCUCAUACAUUUCAAUUUUAAUCUUUUACCCAUCAUAUUGUUUCUUCACUAUUUAUAUUAGUAAAAAACUAAGAAUGAAUUUUUGAUGUCUUUAUGUGUUACACUAAUACAGUACAUGGAUCAACAUUUCAUUCAGUACCCUUCACAUGACUGGAAAAAUAGAGAAACUAUAUAGUUUAUUAGAGGUAAAUUUAUUCAAUUAUUGAACAUGUUGAAGGUAAAAUCUACAUAUUUUUUUUACUUUGGUUGUGAAACUUGCUUAUGUUGUUGCUGUUGAUACCUUUAUAAGAUCAUACAAAUAUCACUAUUAGAAUUUUGAAAGUGUCAGGUUUGAUUUUGACAGUCUUGAUUUUAAGUUGAGACUGAUGUGUAUUUGUGUAGUUAUAUAUCAAAGGUUCAUGAUUCCUAACAAAACCAUACAUGGAGCACAUCAAAGGGGAAAAAUUAUAAAGUUUUUUUUUUAUUUAAAUAUUGAAUAUUUAAUACUAAGAAGUGCUUUGAUUAUGAAACUCAAACCUGCUGUUCUUUACUUUCAAGUUUAAUGUGAAUACAUGGAUGCAAAGAUUUAUGUCAAACUAAUCAUGAAUCACUUCAAAUGGACGAAAGGGUGCAAAGAAGACCAAAGUUUUUCUAUCAAAAUUAAGUCUUUAAACUACUAAAUUUGACUUUCAGUUUCAGUUAUACAGGUAUAGGUUUGUGGAUCAAUGGUGACAGAAGAGCAUGUUGUUGAAUAUGGCUUAACUAAAAUAUUUUGACUGUCACUCGAAAGUAUAACACGGGUUAGGAGCGAACCGAGUUCAAAAAAAUCAUAUUGAAAAAAACUAUCAAUUUGGUUUAUGUCAAAACAGGUUUGGAGCAAAACGAGUUUCGGUUAAAAUUGUAUAUUAAAAAAAACUAUCAUUUUGGUUCGGGUCGAUACUGGUUAGGAGUAAAAUGAGUUCGCGUCAAAACGGGUUUGGAGCUAGGUAAAUGAGUUUGUGUUAAAACUGUAUAUUUAAAAAAAAACUAUCAAUUUGGUUCGGGUUGAUACUGGUUAGGAGCAAAAUGAGUUCGGGUGAAAAUGGAUUUGGAGCAAAAUUAUCUUAUUAAUAACACAGUGUGGAAAUUGGAAGUCAUAUCUAUGCAAAAGCAUAGUUCAUACUGUUUCAUUUGGUAACCCAUUAGAGAUAAAACAUAAGCGAAAAUGACCCGUUUUUAGCCUUUUUGGUAAAUGGGUUCAAAGGUAAUUAAUUUUGUUGAUGUUUGCUUGAUAAGUUUUUGACCUAAUUGUUUAUGUUGUUAGAUUUUAUGAUUUUGACCUAAUUGUGAUUUUGACUAAAUUUUUGAGUUGUUGGGUUUAGGUAUUGAGCGAUUGGUGAAUUGUGAUGUCUUGUGUGUUCAUACUUGAUAAUGGCUAAGGGGGUUGAUAGCAACAGAAACAUGUGAGGAACAAUAUGUGAUUUAUGAAUAAUCAAAAUACAACAUAGAGGGGUUUAUUCUAGCAACACAAUCAUAAAGUUCAUGCUUUAGCUUAAUGGUAUCACAAUACAGAGGGGUUUAUUCUAAACAUUAAGUUUUUAUUUCAUAAUUAUUUGACUAUUGUAUUCCUGGCCACUAGGACUUUUCUGAGUAGUGGUGUUUUGGAUGGUUUAGCUUACACAAUGUUCAAGAGAUGCUAAGUUUUAGAAAUUUCAAAUAUAACCUGCAUCCAUGCUAAUUGCUCUUUCUCUUCAAUCCGCUUCUAUUGGAUUUCUGGAAGUUGAAUGUAAGCUCUAGAAAUCAACUAUAUCUAUCUAUUAUACUAAAUGAAUUGUCUUUGGUCACAUGGGCUAUUCUUAGCCAAUCAUUUUGAUGAUGUGGACACCCUCUUAAUCAAGAUAAUUCACCUUAAGCGCCAAACUCUUUUCUUUUAAUCUCCUCUCUCACAUUCUCAGUUCUCACGUUUUCUCAAAAAACCCUAAAUCAUCUACCGCCGCUUACCACUCUCCACCAUCACAUUCUUCUAUAUGAAACAAUUCUACAUGAUUCGAUCGAAACUGAAUUAAAGGUAUCACUUGAAGCUUUCACAAAGCCUAAUUCUCAGCGAGUCGAUUCUCAUGUAUCUAUGAUUCAGAUUCAGAUCCCAUCUAUCUCUGAUUCCUUUCAAAAACUCUACAUCUAUACCAGCCGAUUCUCAUCAAAGCGAUUAUCAUAAACCCUAAAUAAACCCUCAAUUGGAACCAGUCGAAUGCUAAUCCAUAAUGAUGAACGAAAAUGGCCAGAAUAUGGACACGGGUUCGUGCGUGUUGGUGGGUUUGUACUGUGGAGAUGGUGGUGAUAAGAACUCAGGUAUUUUGUUUUUCAUGGUAACUUUUAUGCUGAUGGGGCUGAAGCAUACCAAAUGGAAAUUUGGAUCAGACAUAUUGAUGGAUUACGUUUCAAAUCAGAUGCAGAGAGACAGAAAGUGAUACAAUUUUCUUGAAGUAGCGAUAUAGAGAAGAGUUUCCGCGGUAAGGAUGAUAAAAAUUAUCUUUUUCAGAUGUAUUUUUUAUUUGUUUUGUUUGUUAGGUGUAAUUUAUGGGUUAACAUAGAUUGUACUCGUGCUACAUGAGCUAAAGAUAGAGAUACACACGAAAGACAGAGUUGGGUUAUUAUCUGACGCUAUGCAGUUAAUAGCAUGCUAUAACGAUGUUAAUUCUUACAAGGCAAGUAACUUCAGACAUCACGUGCAUGUUAAUUCUUACUGUUUUUAAAAGUUAUAUGAUUUUCAGCCUUUCAUGGAUGUUUAAACAGGUCACAUAGUUGAUCUAAAUAAACACUACAAAUCCAUGUUGUUUGAUUUUCUUAACGGGUCGGACUAUCGCUUGGAUUCUUGGUUAGCUUGCAGGUGACAUUUCAUGGGUCAGGUCACCACAUGCAUUUGUAACUUCACUUAAUCUUUUAAUCUUUUUAGUUUAAUGCUUUCUUUGUAAAAAGCUCAAAUUCAAAACCGUUAGGGUAGUGUAUGAGGCCAACUGGGAGCUAGGGGAGUGUUUUUUAAUUUCUUUUUCCCUUUUAUGUCAAUGUGGUUAACCAUUUUAUAUUGCGGAUCUAAAAAGGCGAUGAAGUUGAAUCAGAAACGAUGGCGUACUUUUAUGAAAUUAGUGAAGACGUGUCAACCAUUGCAGGUUAUGGCGGCGAAGUUGAAUCAGAAACGACGACGUAUUUUGUGAAAUUGGUGAAGAGUUUGUUUCAAACCGAUGGAUGGAUCUGGUUAUCGUCAUGUUUGGCCUGUAGCACUGGCAUUGUCACAAUGGAUAGUGGUUGGUGAAGGAAUAAAGAUAGUGUGCAGGUCAUGAGGGUUGCUUGGCAUGCGGGUUUUACAGCUCAACUUCAACAAAACGGUUCAUCCAAUGCUGGUGAAGUUAGAAUUUCUUCUGGUUGUUGUUAAGAGCUUGAAAUGGGCCAGUCAAUACAUAUGGGCACUAUCCUUGCUAGUGAUUUUAUGGUGGCAUUUUGGCUCACCAAAUUGACUUCUACUGAUUGUUGCGGGUGCUCAUCGGGAUAGAACCAGAAAGUACCAACACCGGAAGAUUAAAAUAUCAAACCGAGAGAACCAAACCUAUCUAAACGAGUUCCGUUUAAGACUGUAACGAUUUGCGUUUUGGAUUCCUAAUUCUUACAAGGAGUGUAAUAGUUUUUUAGCGUUCUAAGGGAAAUGACCACCAUACCUACCUAAUAUAUAUAUAUAUAUAUAUAUAUAUAUAUAUAUAUAUUUUGUUUUGUUACUUAUCUUUACUUUGCUUUCAUAAUUAAAUUGGUGUCGAAUUUUGGGUGCAGGCCAUGGAUACCAAAGACAAGGAGAGCAAAUAAUUAAUUGGACAUAGAGUUUUUGUUAUUGCUGAGAGGCAUGAGUGGAGCUGGUGGUUUGAGUGCGAAAAUCCGAUGGCAGAUGAGUUGUUAGUGUUUGUGGGCGGUGGUGAUUGUUAGCCAUACCAUUGUGGUGAUUAAGGAAUAGAGGGAUGGUUUUCAACAACCGGUGAGCCAUUUGUAGUAAAGGAGGAUGAUUUCCAGUUUCAUUCCAAGAUGAUGAAUGCGAUAGUGGAGUUAAAAAAGACAUCAUGAAAACAUCAUGAAGGUUUAGUUGACAAAAACUUAAUUUGUAACGAACAUUAUGUAGAUGUACUAUUGGGACGUGCUCAACUGUCUCAAAAUAUUAGGUUUAACAAAUCACACUUUAACGCUUCUACGUUUAAAUUAUUUUAUGUGUUUAGUUGGUGUUUAGCCACCCGCGAAGCUCGCGGUGUCUUAGGCUAGUAUAUAUAUAAAGUAGUAAUAAUAGUAAUGUAACUCCCAUACCUUACACAAUUGUUUCCAUACUACCUUAG